rnacentral:ncRNA from 1 species
AGAAGGCUGCCGCCGGGCAGCAAACAGGAGUGCACCUGCACCUAUGUCGUUAGGCCUUAGAAGACAUGGGAGCCGGUGCAUAUU